AUCUAUAUCUAGGAUGUAGGGUGCUCUAGGGUACCUUCUCCGCCAAACCUUGCAAAUUUGAACUUAAUAGUUACCUUGGUAGGCUUAACUGCCUGUGGAUAAAUCUAAAUUCUUUAAUAAACUGGCUGUAAUUAAUGCAACUGUCUGAAAUAAUGUUAAUAUUAAAACUUUCAACAACGGAUCUCUUGGUUCUGGCAUCGAUGAAGAACGCAGCGAAAUGCGAUAAGUAGUGUGAAUUGCAGAAUUCAGUGAAUCAUCGAAUCUUUGAACGCACAUUGCGCCCCUCGGUAUCCCGGGGGGCAUGCCUGUUCGAGCGUCAUUUCUACCACUCAAGUUUAACUUGGUAUUGGGCAUCGUUAUGAAAAUUUUUAACGUGCUUUAAAUGUAGACGGCAACAAUUCCCCAGCUUAGAGCGUAGCAGUAAAACAUUUUCGCUUUAAAAGCUGCUGGGUCUUGUUUACCGCAUAGUUUUUACUACAGUUUGACCUCGGAUCAGGCAGGGAUACCCGCUGAACUUAAGCAUAUCAAUAAGCGGAGGAAAAGAAACCAACAGGGAUUGCCUUAGUAACGGCGAGUGAAGCGGCAAUAGCUCAAAUUUGAAAUCUGGCGUCUUUGGACGUCCGAGUUGUAAUUUGUAGAGGAUGUUUCGGUAUUAGCUCCGGUCUAAGUCCCUUGGAACAGGGUGUCGCAGAGGGUGAGAAUCCCGUACGCGACCGGCUGCUUUUGCCAUGUGAAACUCCUUCGACGAGUCGAGUUGUUUGGGAAUGCAGCUCUAAUUGGGAGGUAAAUUUCUUCUAAAGCUAAAUACUGGCCAGAGACCGAUAGCGCACAAGUAGAGUGAUCGAAAGAUGAAAAGCACUUUGGAAAGAGAGUUAAAAAGUACGUGAAAUUGUUGAAAGGGAAGCGCUUGCAAUCAGACCUGCUUGCAGUUGUUCAUCUAAGCUUUUGCCUAGUGCAUUCUUCUGCAAGUCAGGCCAGUAUCAGUUCGGGCGGUUGGAUAAAGAAUUCAGGAAUGUAGCUCCUUUCGGGGAGUGUUAUAGCCUGUUUUGUAAUGCAACCAGCCCGGAU
rnacentral:rRNA from 1 species